GAUACAGAAAUUAGUUUUCUAUACGAAAUCACUGCAACAGUAGGGUGGACACUUACCCUACUGUUACUGUUUUUUUUAAGAUUUAAAAAUCUAGUUGGUAUUGCUUUC